rnacentral:rRNA from 1 species
UACGGGGGGGUGCAAACGUUGCUCGGAAUUAUUGGGCGUAAAGCGCACGUAGGCGGUCUUGUAAGUCGGGUGUGAAAGCCCGGGGCUUAACCCCGGAAGUGCACUCGAAACUGCAAGGCUUGAGUACGGAAGAGGGUCUCGGAAUUCCCGGUGUAGAGGUGAAAUUCGUAGAUAUCGGGAGGAACACCAGUGGCGAAGGCGGAGACCUGGGCCGAUACUGACGCUGAGGUGCGAAAGCGUGGGGAGCAAACAGG